rnacentral:lncRNA from 1 species
UUCUUUGGAUAUUUGGGAUAUUCAUAUUGGUUGCAUAUUUGGUUGCUUUGGGAUGUUUUUAUUUUCAUUGCUUUUGGAUGCUUUUAUUUCAAAUGUACUGCCAUUGUUUGUUUUUCUUUUGUUUGCCUUUGGUUGCUUUAUUUUUCUUUUGUUUCUAUUUUUUAUUCUUAUGUCUCCAAAUUUUUAAGUAAUGUGCCCUUACUCCUCUAGUUUUUCAACCACGCAUUCUUUUUUAUAUUACAAAAAGGGGGAGAAAAAUGCAAAUUUUGCAUAAUAUAAUUUUUAAUUAAAUAUUAAAGCCAAAUUCUUUAAGUUGAAAAUUUAAAU